GUCCCUGUGGCACAACGGUAGCGCGUUGGACUUCUAAUCCAAAGGUCAUGGGUUUGAAUUCCACCAGAGAUG